CCUACGGGAGGCAGCAGUCGAGAAUCAUUCACAAUGGGGGAAACCCUGAUGGUGCGACGCCGCGUGGGGGAAUGAAGGUCUUCGGAUUGUAAACCCCUGUCAUGUGGGAGCAAAUUCAAAAGAUAGUACCACAAGAGGAAGAGACGGCUAACUCUGUGCCAGCAGCCGCGGUAAUACAGAGGUCUCAAGCGUUGUUCGGAAUCACUGGGCGUAAAGCGUGCGUAGGCUGUUUCGUAAGUCGUGUGUGAAAGGCGCGGGCUCAACCCGCGGACGGCACAUGAUACUGCGAGACUAGAGUAAGGGAGGGGGAACCGGAAUGCUCGGUGUAGCAGUGAAAUGCGUAGAUAUCGAGAGGAACACUCGUGGCGAAGGCGGGUUCCUGGACAUUAACUGACGCUGAGGCACGAAGGCCAGGGGAGCGAAAGGGAUUAGAUACCCCUGUAGUC
rnacentral:rRNA from 1 species